rnacentral:rRNA from 1 species
GCCAAUAAUUUAGCCUUAAAUUUCUUCAUAAAUUCUAUACCUAAAAGUUUAUUUAAUAAAACAUUUUAACCCUCGAGUAAAGGCGAUCGAAAAAGUUCUAAGCGCUAUAGUAAUAGUACCGCAAGGGAAAAAUGAAAUAUUAGUGAAAUAGCUAAAGCUACUCACAGCAGAGAAUUUA